rnacentral:lncRNA from 1 species
UUGUGUUUAAAAAUAUAUAAUCUAAUAAUUUAUGUUAAAUAAUUUUGUUAGAGCUUUGGGGACAUGCUAUGGAAUCACCAAUGGAUAUACCAUCACCUGCACCUUGUCAGUCUCCAUUUUUCUUUAGAGAAAGACAAACAUCACUUUAUGAAGAAAUUCCAAUCAAAGAUAUGCCUGUAUGUAGUGGGUCAUAUCUAUGUGAAGGCAGUCGUAGAUUAUCUUCACCAUCAUUUCGUUCUCGUAGUUCUAGCACAUCAUCAACUUCUAGUUCAACUAGUGGUAAUCGUCAUUAUCCAUUUUUGCAUUCAAGAAAACAGAGUGCAGACUCUGUCUUUUAUUAAAUGCAAUAUUUGUAUAAACCAAAGAAAUUGCAUGUGUUGAUAAUUUUAAUAUAAAAUAAUUGUAUAAUAUACUACUAUAUGUAAUUUUUGUUCAUAAUUCUAGUUUGAAAUACUGUAUAAUAAAUUGCAUAAUUAUCAGGGGCCAAAUUUUAUAUUUCAGAAUUGUUUUGCAUCAAUUUGCUUUUUAAAUUAUUUAUCCUUCCC